rnacentral:rRNA from 1 species
GACGAACGCUGGCGGCGUGCUUAACACAUGCAAGUCGAACGGAAAGGCCCUGCUUUUGUGGGGUGCUCGAGUGGCGAACGGGUGAGUAACACGUGAGUAACCUGCCCUUGACUUUGGGAUAACUUCAGGAAACUGGGGCUAAUACCGGAUAGGAGCUCCUGCUGCAUGGUGGGGGUUGGAAAGUUUCGGCGGUUGGGGAUGGACUCGCGGCUUAUCAGCUUGUUGGUGGGGUAGUGGCUUACCAAGGCUUUGACGGGUAGCCGGCCUGAGAGGGUGACCGGCCACAUGGGGACUGAGAUACGGACCAGACGCCUACGGGAGGCAGCAGUGGGGAAUAUUGCACAAUGGGCGGAAGCCUGAUGCAGCAACGCCGCGUGCGGGAUGACGGCCUUCGGGUUGUAAACCGCUUUCGCCUGUGACGAAGCGUGAGUGACGGUAAUGGGUAAAGAAGCACCGGCUAACUACGUG